UGUUAAAUGGACGAGGAGAGCCCGUGGCUGGUGAGAGGAUGCGGCAUUUCGUCAGUGGAGCAUAGAACGACGUCUGUGAUUGGACAACAAGUGAGUAACGCUGCAUCUGAUUGUUCGAAAGCCUCAACCAAAGAGCUGCUGGUCACGGCAAGAUACAAACUCGCCGGAGCUCUGAGUGAACUGCACAUCCGGGACCUUCAGCACUCAGCAGAGAUUUGUCUUGACGUAUGUAUUUACCUUUGAUAUCCAUGACUCGACGCACAUUUAGCAAGUUAAAGGGACCUGUGGCCUUGCACGUGCUCUGCAUCUUCAACUGCACAGACAAAUCAUUUGUGCCAGCUACUUCCCUGCUCUCCUUCC